AGCAGCCGCGGUAAUUCCAGCUCCAAUAGCGUAUAUUAAAGUUGUUGCAGUUAAAAAGCUCGUAGUUGAAUUUCGGGACCAAUCUGCCGGUCGUGCCUCCGGUACGCACUGGUUUUAUUGGUCUCUCCCUUCUGACGAACCAUGAUGUCAUUAAUUUGGUGUCAUGGGGAAUCAGGACUGUUACUUUGAAAAAAUUAGAGUGUUUAUAGCAGGCUCACGCUUGAAUACAUUAGCAUGGAAUAAUGAAAUAGGACGUUUGACCCUAUUUUGUUGGUUUCUAGGAUCGACGUAAUGAUUAAUAGGGAUAGUUGGGGGCAUUAGUAUUCAAUUGUCAGAGGUGAAAUUCUUGGAUUUAUUGAAGACUAACUACUGCGAAAGCAUUUGCCAAGGAUGUCUUCAUUAAUCAAGAACGAAAGUUAGGGGAUCGAAGACGAUCAGAUACCGUCGUAGUCUUAACCAUAAACUAUGCCGACUAGGGAUCGGAUGAUGUUAAUUUUUUUAAUGACUCAUUCGG
rnacentral:rRNA from 1 species